AAAUUGAAGAGUUUGAUCAUGGCUCAGAUUGAACGCUGGCGGCAGGCCUAACACAUGCAAGUCGAACGGUAACAGGAAACAGCUUGCUGUUUCGCUGACGAGUGGCGGACGGGUGAGUAAUGUCUGGGAAACUGCCUGAUGGAGGGGGAUAACUACUGGAAACGGUAGCUAAUACCGCAUAAUGUCGCAAGACCAAAGAGGGGGACCUUCUGGCCUCUUGCCAUCGGAUGUGCCCAGAUGGGAUUAGCUUGUUGGUGGGGUAGCGGCUCACCAAGGCGACGAUCCCUAGCUGGUCUGAGAGGAUGACCAGCCACACUGGAACUGAGACACGGUCCAGACUCCUACGGGAGGCAGCAGUGGGGAAUAUUGCACAAUGGGCGCAAGCCUGAUGCAGCCAUGCCGCGUGUAUGAAGAAGGCCUUCGGGUUGUAAAGUACUUUCAGCGGGGAGGAAGGGAGUAAAGUUAAUACCUUUGCUCAUUGACGUUACCCGCAGAAGAAGCACCGGCUAACUCCGUGCCAGCAGCCGCGGUAAUACGGAGGGUGCAAGCGUUAAUCGGAAUUACUGGGCGUAAAGCGCACGCAGGCGGUUUGUUAAGUCAGAUGUGAAAUCCCCGGGCUCAACCUGGGAACUGCAUCUGAUACUGGCAAGCUUGAGUCUCGUAGAGGGGGGUAGAAUUCCAGGUGUAGCGGUGAAAUGCGUAGAGAUCUGGAGGAAUACCGGUGGCGAAGGCGGCCCCCUGGACGAAGACUGACGCUCAGGUGCGAAAGCGUGGGGAGCAAACAGGAUUAGAUACCCUGGUAGUCCACGCCGUAAACGAUGUCGACUUGGAGGUUGUGCCCUUGAGGCGUGGCUUCCGGAGCUAACGCGUUAAGUCGACCGCCUGGGGAGUACGGCCGCAAGGUUAAAACUCAAAUGAAUUGACGGGGGCCCGCACAAGCGGUGGAGCAUGUGGUUUAAUUCGAUGCAACGCGAAGAACCUUACCUGGUCUUGACAUCCACAGAACUUUCCAGAGAUGGAUUGGUGCCUUCGGGAACUGUGAGACAGGUGCUGCAUGGCUGUCGUCAGCUCGUGUUGUGAAAUGUUGGGUUAAGUCCCGCAACGAGCGCAACCCUUAUCCUUUGUUGCCAGCGGUCCGGCCGGGAACUCAAAGGAGACUGCCAGUGAUAAACUGGAGGAAGGUGGGGAUGACGUCAAGUCAUCAUGGCCCUUACGACCAGGGCUACACACGUGCUACAAUGGCGCAUACAAAGAGAAGCGACCUCGCGAGAGCAAGCGGACCUCAUAAAGUGCGUCGUAGUCCGGAUUGGAGUCUGCAACUCGACUCCAUGAAGUCGGAAUCGCUAGUAAUCGUGGAUCAGAAUGCCACGGUGAAUACGUUCCCGGGCCUUGUACACACCGCCCGUCACACCAUGGGAGUGGGUUGCAAAAGAAGUAGGUAGCUUAACCUUCGGGAGGGCGCUUACCACUUUGUGAUUCAUGACUGGGGUGAAGUCGUAACAAGGUAACCGUAGGGGAACCUGCGGUUGGAUCACCUCCUUA
rnacentral:rRNA from 1 species